AAGUUGUACUAAGGUUUCCGUAGGUGAACCUGCGGAAGGAUCAUUAGAAAAUGCCGGCUUUAGCUGGUAAAAAAAUUCUAUCCACCUUGUGUGGAAAAAAGAGAGAAAAUCGGAACGAAAAAGAUUAUAUAUAUCAACUCGAAAUUUGCGCUACGUCAUCCAUGUGAUGUCAUCAGCUAGCAACACGUAAAUAAUGCAUAUCUUGCAUUAUCAAUAAAAUCGUUCUUUUUUCUCUCUUUCUGCCAAUACUUUUUAUACAACUUUCAACAAUGGAAAUCUUGGCCCUC
rnacentral:misc_RNA from 1 species